rnacentral:rRNA from 1 species
AUGGCGGCGUACCACCCUGCCGCGGCGCUCUCCUUCCUCCUCGUGCUCUCGCUCUUCCUCCUGGCCCGCGCCGACCCGCCGCCGGCCACGCCGGUGCCGCCCUCCACGGCGUGCGACGACACGACGGACCCCGCAUUCUGCCGCUCCGUGCUCCCGGCCAACGGCACCGGCAACCUCUACGCCUACGGCCGCUUCUCCGCCGCCAGGUCCCUCUCCAACGCCAACCGGUUCCUCGGCCUCGUCAACCGGUACCUCGCCCGCGGCGGCCUCUCCGGCGCCGCGGUCGCCGCGCUGCAGGACUGCCAGCUCCUCUCCGGGCUCAACAUCGACUUCCUCUCCGCGGCCGGCGCCACGCUGAACACCACCAAGUCGGCGCUCCUCAACCCGCAGGCCGAGGACGUGCAGACGCUGCUGUCGGCCAUCCUGACCAACCAGCAGACGUGCGCCGACGGCCUGCAGGCCGCCGCGUCGGUGUGGUCCGUGCGCAGCGGCCUCGCCGUGCCCAUGGCCAACAGCACCAAGCUCUACAGCAUCUCGCUCUCGCUCUUCACCCGGGCGUGGGUGCCCCGCGGCAAGGGCAGGAAGCCGAGGCCGGCGCCGUCGUCGUCCGCGAAGCCGCCUCGGCAGCGCGGGAGGGGCCUGUUCGACGCCACGGACGACGAGAUGGUGCGCAGGAUGGCGCUCGAGGGGGCCGUGGCGGCGGUGUCGGUGGCCGGCGCGGUGACCGUGGACCAGAGCGGCGCGGGGAACUACACGACCGUCGGGGACGCCGUGGCGGCGGCGCCGAGCAACCUUGGCGCCAGCAGCGGGUACUUCGUGAUACGCGUGGCCGCGGGCGUGUACGAGGAGAAUGUGGUGGUGCCCAAGAGCAAGAAGUAUGUCAUGAUGGUCGGCGACGGCAUCGGCCAGACGGUGAUCACCGGCAACCGGAGCGUGGUCGACGGCUGGACCACCUUCAACUCCGCCACGUUCGCCGUGCUCGGGCAAGGGUUCGUGGCGGUGAACAUGACGUUCCGCAACACGGCGGGGCCGGCGAAGCACCAGGCGGUGGCGCUCCGGAGCGGGGCCGACCUCUCGACGUUCUACCAGUGCAGCUUCGAGGGGUACCAGGACACGCUCUACACCCACUCCCUCCGCCAGUUCUACCGCGCGUGCGACGUCUACGGCACCGUCGACUACGUCUUCGGCAACGCCGCCGUCGUGUUCCAGGACUGCACGCUCUACAACCGCCUCCCCAUGGCCGGCCAGAGCAACACCGUCACGGCGCAGGGCCGCUCCGACCCGAACCAGAACACGGGCACCACCAUCCAGGGCUGCUCCAUCGUGGCCGCGCCGGAGCUCGCCGCCAACACGGCCUUCGCCACCGCCACCUACCUGGGGCGGCCGUGGAAGAUGUACUCGCGCACGGUGAUCAUGCAGUCGGACGUGGCCGGGCUCGUCGACCCGGCGGGCUGGAUGCCGUGGAGCGGCGACUUCGCGCUCGCCACGCUCUACUACGCCGAGUACGACAACUCCGGCGCUGGGUCGGACACGAGCAGGAGGGUGAACUGGCCGGGGUACCACGUGCUCAACAGCACCGUCGACGCCGGCAACUUCACCGUCGCCAACAUGGUGCUCGGGGAUUUCUGGCUGCCGCAAACCGGCGUGCCCUUCACCGUCGGGCUCAACUGA